rnacentral:piRNA from 1 species
AAGGCCUGAAGGACUUUGCCCCUGGCAAG